rnacentral:miRNA from 1 species
CACCCAGCCACCCCUCCCACUCCCCAACGGGGCAGCUGCGGCUGAGGGCUGUGGCGGCGGCGGCGGCGGCGGCAACUGGGGACGGCGGAGACCGCC